rnacentral:lncRNA from 1 species
AUGAAAGAAAUAGGAGAGGGAACAUUUUCUGAUGUUCUGAAGACACUGAGUCUUAGGGAUGGAAAGUACUAUGCAUGUAAACACAUGAAACAACAUUUUGAAAGUAUGGAACAAGUGAAUAAUCUGAGAGAAAUACAAGCACUAAGGAGGCUGAGUCCACAUCCUAAUAUCCUUGCAUUACAUGAAGUUGUUUUUGAUAAAAAAGCUGGGUCCCUUUCACUGAUAUGUGAACUUAUGGACAUGAAUAUUUAUGAGCUGAUAAAAGGAAGGAGAAAGCCAUUACCUGAAAAAAAAAUUAAGACCUACAUGUACCAGUUAUGCAAAUCUCUUGAUUACAUACAUAGAAAUGGGAUAUUUCACAGAGAUGUGAAACCAGAAAACAUAUUAAUAAAGCAGAAUACCCUGAAGUUAGGAGAUUUUGGAUCUUGUAGGAGUAUCUAUUCUAAGCAGCCACAUACGGAAUAUAUCUCCACACGCUGGUAUCGAGCACCUGAAUGCUUACUUACAAAUGGCUACUAUAGUUACAAAAUUGAUAUGUGGAGUGCUGGCUGUGUUUUCUAUGAAAUCACAAGUUUUCAGCCUCUCUUCCCUGGAUCUAAUGAGCUGGACCAAAUUUCAAAAAUCCAUGACAUUAUAGGCACUCCUGCUAACAAAACUCUCAAGAAGUUCAAGCAGUCAAGAAUUGCGACCUUUGAUUUCCCUUUUAAAAGAGGAAAAGGAAUACCUCCUCUUGUGCACAAUUUGUCUCCCAAAGGCUUCUCUCUCCUGUAUGCAAUGAUAAAAUAUGAUCCUGAUGAGAGAAUUGCUGCCCAUCAAGCAUUACAGCACCCUUAUUUUCAAGAACUCUGGGCAGCUGAUACACAAGCUUUGGCCAUGCACAAAAAAUUAAGAUUACUAGGAAAUACAUCAGGGCAAGUACCUCUGCAUUUGUGGGAAAUAUCAAAGGAAGGUCAAAGACAGGUAAUGUUUAAGUGGAAGAAUUGUCAGCCCAUUUAG